rnacentral:rRNA from 1 species
UACGUAGGGUGCAAGCGUUGUCCGGAAUUAUUGGGCGUAAAGAGCGUGUAGGCGGCCAAGCAGGUCCGUUGUGAAAACUGGAGGCUUAACCUCCAGACGUCGACGGAAACCGCGUGGCUAGAGUCCGGAAGAGGAGAGUGGAAUUCCUGGUGUAGCGGUGAAAUGCGCAGAUAUCAGGAAGAACACCAAUGGCGAAGGCAGCUCUCUGGGACGGUACUGACGCUGAGACGCGAAAGCGUGGGGAGCGAACAGG